CCUACGGGUGGCAGCAGUGAGGAAUAUUGGUCAAUGGGCGGAAGCCUGAACCAGCCAAGUAGCGUGCAGGAUGACGGCCCUACGGGUUGUCAACUGCUUUUAUACGGGAAUAACGCGCCUUACGUGUAGGGCUUUGCAUGUACCGUAUGAAUAAGGACCGGCUAAUUCCGUGCCAGCAGCCGCGGUAAUACGGAAGGUCCGGGCGUUAUCCGGAUUUAUUGGGUUUAAAGGGAGCGUAGGCCGCAUGUCAAGCGUGCUGUGAAAUGUCCGGGCUCAACCCGGGCCUUGCAGCGCGAACUGGCGUGCUUGAGUCCGCGGAAAGCAGGCGGGAUUGGACGUGUAGCGGUGAAAUGCUUAGAUAUGACGAAGAACCCCGAUUGCGAAGGCAGCUUGCGGCAGCGGAACUGACGCUGAUGCUCGAAAGCGCGGGUAUCGAACAGGAUUAGAUAUACCA
rnacentral:rRNA from 1 species